rnacentral:lncRNA from 1 species
CUACGAGAACACCCAUCUCACGCACGAACUUUCCAUCGGACACGCAGGUCUUGCCACUACGGAAAAAACCGUAAUUUCCCCUCUCAGAGCCUUCUUGCUCUGUCUGCGGAAUGGAAGGCCCGCGAAUGCCGCACGAGGUUCGAACCAUUUUACGUCGUCUGCUUCGAUAGUUAAAGUGGGUGGGACGCUGCAGCUACCCAGUGAGACCGCGACGGGUGCUUUUUGUAGCUAUCCACCCUGAAAGGCGUAACCUCUCCAACAGCUCCAUUCUUCCUGCAAUUGUAUGUCACUUUCACUAAACCCGGACAUGCGACGACCGUUCAGGUAUGCGGUACAAAAAGUGUGACAGAUCACAGAAAGCCAAGUACGUUUACCACCGGCAACCCUGCGUACUUGCCGUGUAGAGCACAAGUUCGUGUGUGUGGUUCGAAACGCGUUUAGUACCACAAAACGGUUCGACGCGAAAUGAGUGUCACCGGUGUUUUGUGUGAUGCGUAUACGCCAACAUAGGGUUGGACAAAAAAGGAACUUCCCGGUUCCCGGAGCCCAACGGGCAGCCAUGUCUACUUGAUAGUCGCCGGCCCGAACGUACCAGGGAACGUAUUUCCACAGCCGACGUAAAAUUAACGUCGUGAUAUCAUCAUUGGUUCGGCCUGUUAGCUACCGGACGUCGGCGUCACGUCCCAACCUGUUCCGUGGCCAUCGAACGGUAGCUACAUCCCUAUGCGUUACACAGGGUAAUUGAAUGCCGUUCUACGGAGGUGUCCUGGUGGCAGGGACCAGUACCCAUGGAAAGCUAUGGUGAUUUGGAUUGGUUCCGUUGCGCAAACAGCCGCAAUAGCCUUCCUUCAUGGGGUCUCUUCCCGGUGGACAAUCGCCGUAGGGAGAUGGACUGCGGAGCCUGUCUUCGAAGGAGGGCAAGAAGGUGUGCGUGUCCUGAAGCCGUAAACAGGAACACAUCUGAACUCUGUUUAGGCAGUCAAUGUCUCUUGAGAGAAUGUUCUUGAUUGGAAACAACUGGACUGCUUAAGACAGCUAAAAGUGUUGGAUUUCACACCGGUCUUCAUGUUUGCUUUGAAGCAUGUAAAAAUGUACUCCCUAAUCUGUUGUGCAGGCGGGCAUGCUCGCUGCAUGAGUUCUUGGCACUUUCUUUUGUCACAUCUCCCUCCUACACUCGCGCUAGGGAUUACCCGAGAAGAUCCCGAACCCCAAACCAACCGUCCUCCUGGGCAGUGCGGUGUUUUAGAGCGGCACGUGUGUAUUCUUCAGGAGUGUUACAGAGGAUAGUGACCAGCGGAAGUGCGAAUUUAUAAUUCACAAGAUGGGCAGAUGUGUGUGUAUCUUGCCCACCCAGGAGCACAUCACUCUCUCA